rnacentral:rRNA from 1 species
GCCUACAAUGGCUAUCACGGGUAACGGGGAAUCAGGGUUCGAUUCCGGAGAGGGAGCCUGAGAAACGGCUACCACAUCUAAGGAAGGCAGCAGGCGCGCAAAUUACCCACUCCCGGCACGGGGAGGUAGUGACGAAAAAUACUGUUGCGAGCCCCGAACGGGGCCUCGCAAUUGGAAUGAGUACACUUUAAAUCCUUGUACGAGGAUCGAGUGGAGGGCAAGUCUGGUGCCAGCCGCCGCGGUAAUUCCAGCUCCACUAGCGUAUAUUAAAGUUGUUGCGGUUGAAACGCUCGUAGUU